CCUACGGGAGGCAGCAGUGAGGAAUAUUGGUCAAUGGACGAGAGUCUGAACCAGCCAAGUAGCGUGAAGGAUGACUGCCCUAUGGGUUGUAAACUUCUUUUAUAUGGGAAUAAAAUGUUCCACGUGUGGGAUUUUGUAUGUACCAUAUGAAUAAGGAUCGGCUAACUCCGUGCCAGCAGCCGCGGUAAUACGGAGGAUCCGAGCGUUAUCCGGAUUUAUUGGGUUUAAAGGGAGCGUAGGUGGAUUGUUAAGUCAGUUGUGAAAGUUUGCGGCUCAACCGUAAAAUUGCAGUUGAAACUGGCAGUCGUGAGUACAGUAGAGGUGGGCGGAAUUCGUGGUGUAGCGGUGAAAUGCUUAGAUAUCACGAAGAACUCCGAUUGCGAAGGCAGCUCACUGGACUGCAACUGACACUGAGGCUCGAAGGUGUGGGUAUCAAACAGGAUUAGAUACCCCAGUAGUC
rnacentral:rRNA from 1 species